GCCACGGAGGAGACCUCUGUCUUUGAUGUGGAUACCUCAGAGCCAUCAUCCGCUUCUUUGCCAAAGAGUUGCAUGAUACAUGAACGGAACUGAUGAGGAAAAAAUAAAACGGCUACCUGACUCACACAUUUGCCAAGAACUCCAUGUGGGACAAGGACUGCACAUCAAGAAGAGGAUGGAUCCUGAAACUAAAGAAAUCUGGAGGACAUCAACAGCUUUACGCAGGAGCCACGGAGGAGACCUCUGUCUUUGAUGUGGAUACCUCAGAGCCAUCAUCCGCUUCUUUGCCAAAGAGUUGCAUGAUACAUGAACGGAACUAACGAAACACGAAAUAAAACAGUAUGUUACAAAUUUAAACCAAA